rnacentral:tRNA from 1 species
AUCCAUAUAUCUAUAUUAAGAGCUGAGUUCUUACCUCAGUAAUGUGGUUUUCACUGUGGGUU